rfam:Omnitrophica bacterium RIFCSPHIGHO2_02_FTLL_63_14 rifcsphigho2_02_scaffold_9478, whole genome shotgun sequence.
GCGCCCGUAGCUCAAUUGGAUAGAGCGCUAGCCUCCGGAGCUAGAGGUUAUGGGUUCGAUCCCCGUCGGGCGCG